UACGUAGGGGGCAAGCGUUGUCCGGAAUCAUUGGGCGUAAAGAGCGCGUAGGCGGUCCGGUAAGUCCGCUCUGAAAGUCCGGGGCUCAACCCCGGGAGGCGGGCGGAUACUGUCGGGCUAGAGUCCGGAAGAGGCGAGUGGAAUUCCUGGUGUAGCGGUGAAAUGCGCAGAUAUCAGGAGGAACACCAGUGGCGAAGGCGGCAUCCUGGCCCUGACCUGACGCUGAGGCGCGAGAGCGUGGGGAGCAAACGGG
rnacentral:rRNA from 1 species